UACGUAGGGUGCAAGCGUUGUCCGGAAUUAUUGGGCGUAAAGAGCUCGUAGGCGGCUUGUCGCGUCGGCUGUGAAAACCCGGGGCUCAACCCCGGGCCUGCAGCCGAUACGGGCAAGCUAGAAUUCGGUAGGGGAGACUGGAAUUCCUGGUGUAGCGGUGAAAUGCGCAGAUAUCAGGAGGAACACCGGUGGCGAAGGCGGGUCUCUGGGCCGAUAUUGACGCUGAGGAGCGAAAGCGUGGGGAGCGAACAGG
rnacentral:rRNA from 1 species